UGUUGUAAGCUUUUCGUGGCGCUAGAUGUCAGACAGAUGCAAAUGGCAAAUACAUACGAAAGUGUAAAACGUGUAUGGCGAACAUUUGUUUUUUUCUGUCAUUAUAGAUGCUAGUUUGGUGAAAGUUCACACUGAGUGCUUCAAAUCAUUCAGAAGAGAUGCUGUUUUUAGGGCAGUUUAUUAAAGAAGACCUGACAUGGAUGACUUCCAAUGAGAAACGACUGCUAAUACUUAUAUGAAUUCAUUACAGAAGGACCCUACCAGACUAUAUUUGAAUACGGCAUACCCAUGAAUUCUGGAACUGUUAUUCCUUAACCCAGUUUGGAGGAUAAGAGCUUACCAACUAGUUAUAAAUAUGCUGAGGUGAUGUAUUGCAAAAUAGCCAACAUACAACAAUAUGGAUGACCCUCUGUCUUGUCAACAGGAGUUUAAAUAUGGACGGGACAGUUAUGUGGCAGCUCUUCCCUGGCUCAUUCACCUCUUGCCUUUCAUUUGUGAAAGGAAGAAAGAAGAAAGAGGGUCAAUGUGCAACUGAAGCUACUGAUUGUGCUGUGUGAUGAGCAUCAAUCCAUGCUUUGAGGGGGAUGAAUCAGCACAGCCCUGCCUGCUCUGCGUUGGGAACAGAAGUUGCAUCCAGAAUUUUUGCAUCAUUCUGGACCAAAAAGCCAUUCCCUCCAUGAUGAAGACCACUGAUGCAGCCUUCCACUACAUCAUGAGUAAAACAACUACAGAACUAAAUACCAGGUUGGAACGUAUUUAAGAAAAAUGAAACGUCUUUUGAAUUGAAAUGUCUGUUUUGUUAUGGAAAAAUCUUUAGUAUUGUGAAGGAUAAGCAUUUCUGCCUGCCAGUAAGGUAAUUGCAGUGUAUUUUAAUCUUCAAGUUUUGAGUAGGGUGGCUAAUUUUUUUUUAACUCUCAUUUGAUUUAUUAAAGACCUUAUAAUAAGUGGUUUUCAUGUCACUGCGCUGUGGUAUAAGAUAACUUUCAUUAUUCCAUACUGUAUUCUGUUUCUAAUUGUAGCUGAGGUAUUUAAAUAAGCAGUGUUAAAUGCAAAGUGUUGUGUGUAUCAAUGUAAAUAUUAAAUGUGAGGUACUUUAAUAA